rnacentral:rRNA from 1 species
AUUGAACGCUGGCGGCAGGCCUAACACAUGCAAGUCGAACGAGUGGCGGACGGGUGAGUCAUGUCUGGGAACCUGCCUGAUGGAGGGGGAUAACUACUGGAAACGGUAGCUAAUACCGCAUACCAUCGGAUGUGCCCAGAUGGGCUUAGCUAGUAGGUGGGGUAACGGCACACCUAGGCGACGAUCCCUAGCUGGGCUGAGAGGAUGACCCGCCACACUGGAACUGAGACACGGUCCAGACUCCUACGGGAGGCAGCAGUGGGGAAUAUUGGACAAUGGGGGCAAGCCUGACGCAGCCAUGCCGCGUGUAGGAAGAAGGCCUUCGGGUUGUAAAGCACGUUCAGCGGGGAGGCGUUACCCGCAGAAGAAGCACCGGCUAACUCCGUGCCAGCAGCCGCGGUAAUAC